rnacentral:rRNA from 1 species
AUUGAACGCUGGCGGCAUGCCUAACACAUGCAAGUCGAACGGGGGUAGCAAUACCCUAGUGGCGGACGGGUGAGGAAUACGUAGGAAUUUGCCCUUAAGUGGGGGAUAACCCGGGGAAACCCGGACUAAUACCGCAUGAUCUCGUGAGAGCAAAGCAGGGGACCGCAAGGCCUUGCGCUUUUGGAGAAGCCUACGUCGGAUUAGCUAGUUGGUGGGGUAAUGGCCCACCAAGGCUACGAUCCGUAACUGGUCUGCGAGGAUGAUCAGUCACACCGGAACUGAGACACGGUCCGGACUCCUACGGGAGGCAGCAGUGGGGAAUAUUGGACAAUGGGCGAAAGCCUGAUCCAGCAAUGCCGCGUGUGUGAAGAAGGCCUUCGGGUUGUAAAGCACUUUAGGCUGGAAGGAAAAAGCUUUGGCUAAUAUCCAAAGCCUUGACGGUACCAGCAGAAUAAGCACCGGCUAACUCUGUGCCAGCCGCCGCCGUAAUAC